CAAAGCCUUACUAGGCUAAUGUAAUGGUGGUGAAAAUAAAAUAUACGUGUGUGAUAUUUUACUCUUUUUCUUCCCAUUAUUUCCCAAAAUUUCAAACCUCAUUCUUAGAAUUAUUUUCCCCAAAAUUUUCAAGCCCUAGGUGCUCGAAUUGUUACCCAAAAAGAAAAGAGAUGACAACAUAAAUUAAAAACACAAGAGAGGAGUUCGCAGUUCAUGAAUUUCGCAUCAAUUCGCAAAUCGCAAACACCAAUUCGCAAUUCGCAGUUCUAGGGUUUAGAGGGUAUGUUCGCAAGUGAUGGUUUAGAGGGUCUGCAAUGCAUAGUUCGAGGGUUUAGAGGGUCUGCAUUGCAUUCGACGGUUUAUACGAAGAAGGAAGAGGACGACGAAGGUAGGAGACGGGCCAUCUCAUUCAAGCUUUAAUCCCGUAAAACAGAUCCAUAAACCUCCACAAGGAGCACGGUUAGCUAAAUGGAGAAGAAAUGUAGAUCUAGCAAUGGCACGGUGGAGGCUCUUGUUUGUUUUUGAGUCAUUUUGUGAUUUCUAGUAAUAUAGAAUUUGUUUACGUGGAUUUUAAUUUUAUACAUUUUUGUCAUUAACACUAUAUUAAUUAGUGAACGACUAUUUUGUAAUGCAUGUGUCCUAUGGGCACUAAUAUUGUAAUAUUUUUCUUUAAGUCAAUGAAAAUAUUUUAUUAUUGA